UACGUAGGGUGCGAGCGUUUGUCCGGAAUUAUUGGGCGUAAAGAGCUUGUAGGCGGUUUGUCGCGUCUGCUGUGAAAAUCCGGGGCUCAACCCCGGACUUGCAGUGGGUACGGGCAGACUAGAGUGUGGUAGGGGAGACUGGAAUUCCUGGUGUAGCGGUGAAAUGCGCAGAUAUCAGGAGGAACAUCGAUGGCGAAGGCAGGUCUCUGGGCCACUACUGACGCUGAGAAGCGAAAGCAUGGGGAGCGAACAGG
rnacentral:rRNA from 1 species